GACGAACGCUGGCGGCGUGCUUAACACAUGCAAGUCGAACGGUGAAGGGAUCAGCUUGCUGGUUCUGGAUGAGUGGCGAACGGGUGAGUAACACGUGAGUAACCUGCCCCCUUCUUCUGGAUAACCGCAUGAAAGUGUGGCUAAUACGGGAUAUUCUGGGUCUGUCGCAUGAUGGGUCUGGGAAAGAUAUUGUUUCGGUGGGGGAUGGGCUCGCGGCCUAUCAGCUUGUUGGUGGGGUGAUGGCCUACCAAGGCGGUGACGGGUAGCCGGCCUGAGAGGGGGGACGGUCACACUGGGACUGAGACACGGCCCAGACUCCUACGGGAGGCAGCAGUGGGGAAUAUUGCACAAUGGGCGCAAGCCUGAUGCAGCGACGCCGCGUGAGGGAUGGAGGCCUUCGGGUUGUAAACCUCUUUCGCCAGUGAAGCAGGCCUGCUCCGUGUGGGUGGGUUGACGGUAGCUGGAUAAGAAGCGCCGGCUAACUACGUG
rnacentral:rRNA from 1 species